rnacentral:rRNA from 1 species
CUUGACAUCCAGCGAAUUUCCAGAGAUGGAUUGGUGCCUUCGGGAACGCUGAGACAGGUGCUGCAUGGCUGUCGUCAGCUCGUGUUGUGAAAUGUUGGGUUAAGUCCCGCAACGAGCGCAACCCUUAUCCUUUGUUGCCAGCGAUUCGGUCGGGAACUCAAAGGAGACUGCCGGUGAUAAACCGGAGGAAGGUGGGGAUGACGUCAAGUCAUCAUGGCCCUUACGAGUAGGGCUACACACGUGCUACAAUGGCGCAUACAAAGAGAAGCGACCUCGCGAGAGCAAGCGGACCUCAUAAAGUGCGUCGUAGUCCGGAUCGGAGUCUGCAACUCGACUCCGUGAAGUCGGAAUCGCUAGUAAUCGUGGAUCAGAAUGCCACGGUGAAUACGUUCCCGGGCCUUGUACACACCGCCCGUCACACCAUGGGAGUGGGUUGCAAAAGAAGUAGGUAGCUUAACCUUCGGGAGGGCGCUUACCACUUUGUGAUUCAUGACUGGGGUGAAGUCGUAACAAGGUAGGCGUAGCGAG